rnacentral:rRNA from 1 species
GAACCAGUACCGUGAGGGAAAGGCGAAAAGAACCCCGGAGAGGGGAGUGAAAUAGAACCUGAAACCGUAUGCGUACAAGCAGUGGGAGCCUACUUGUUAGGUGACUGCGUACCUUUUGUAUAAUGGGUCAGCGACUUAUAUUCAGUGGCAAGCUUAACCGUAUAGGGUAGGCGUAGCGAAAGCGAGUCUUAAUAGGGCGUUUAGUCGCUGGGUAUAGACCCGAAACCGGGCGAUCUAUCCAUGAGCAGGUUGAAGGUUAGGUAACACUGACUGGAGGACCGAACCCACUCCCGUUGAAAAGGUAGGGGAUGACUUGUGGAUCGGAGUGAAAGGCUAAUCAAGCUCGGAGAUAGCUGGUUCUCCUCGAAAGCUAUUUAGGUAGCGCCUCAUGUAUCACUCUGGGGGGUAGAGCACUGUUUCGGCUAGGGGGUCAUCCCGACUUACCAAACCGAUGCAAACUCCGAAUACCCAGAAGUGCCGAGCAUGGGAGACACACGGCGGGUGCUAACGUCCGUCGUGAAAAGGGAAACAACCCAGACCGCCAGCUAAGGUCCCAAAGUUGUGGUUAAGUGGUAAACGAUGUGGGAAGGCUUAGACAGCUAGGAGGUUGGCUUAGAAGCAGCCAUCCUUUAAAGAAAGCGUAAUAGCUCACUAGUCGAGUCGGCCUGCGCGGAAGAUGUAACGGGGCUCAAACCACACACCGAAGCUGCGGGUGUCACGUAAGUGACGCGGUAGAGGAGCGUUCUGUAAGCCUGUGAAGGUGAGUUGAGAAGCUUGCUGGAGGUAUCAGAAGUGCGAAUGCUGACAUGAGUAACGACAAUGGGUGUGAAAAACACCCACGCCGAAAGACCAAGGGUUCCUGCGCAACGUUAAUCGACGCAGGGUUAGUCGGUUCCUAAGGCGAGGCUGAAAAGCGUAGUCGAUGGGAAACAGGUUAAUAUUCCUGUACUUCUGGUUACUGCGAUGGAGGGACGGAGAAGGCUAGGCCAGCUUGGCGUUGGUUGUCCAAGUUUAAGGUGGUAGGCUGAAAUCUUAGGUAAAUCCGGGGUUUCAAGGCCGAGAGCUGAUGACGAGUCGUCUUUUAGAUGACGAAGUGGUUGAUGCCAUGCUUCCAAGAAAAGCUUCUAAGCUUCAGGUAACCAGGAACCGUACCCCAAACCGACACAGGUGGUCGGGUAGAGAAUACCAAGGCGCUUGAGAGAACUCGGGUGAAGGAACUAGGCAAAAUGGCACCGUAACUUCGGGAGAAGGUGCGCCGGCUAGGGUGAAGGAUUUACUCCGUAAGCUCUGGCUGGUCGAAGAUACCAGGCCGCUGCGACUGUUUAUUAAAAACACAGCACUCUGCAAACACGAAAGUGGACGUAUAGGGUGUGACGCCUGCCCGGUGCCGGAAGGUUAAUUGAUGGGGUUAGCGCAAGCGAAGCUCUUGAUCGAAGCCCCGGUAAACGGCGGCCGUAACUAUAACGGUCCUAAGGUAGCGAAAUUCCUUGUCGGGUAAGUUCCGACCUGCACGAAUGGCGUAACGAUGGCGGCGCUGUCUCCACCCGAGACUCAGUGAAAUUGAAAUCGCUGUGAAGAUGCAGUGUAUCCGCGGCUAGACGGAAAGACCCCGUGAACCUUUACUGUAGCUUUGCACUGGACUUUGAGCCUGCUUGUGUAGGAUAGGUGGGAGGCUUUGAAGCGUGGACGCCAGUUCGCGUGGAGCCAUCCUUGAAAUACCACCCUGGCAUGCUUGAGGUUCUAACUCUGGUCCGUAAUCCGGAUCGAGGACAGUGUAUGGUGGGCAGUUUGACUGGGGCGGUCUCCUCCUAAAGAGUAACGGAGGAGUACGAAGGUGCGCUCAGACCGGUCGGAAAUCGGUCGCAGAGUAUAAAGGCAAAAGCGCGCUUGACUGCGAGACAGACACGUCGAGCAGGUACGAAAGUAGGUCUUAGUGAUCCGGUGGUUCUGUAUGGAAGGGCCAUCGCUCAACGGAUAAAAGGUACUCCGGGGAUAACAGGCUGAUACCGCCCAAGAGUUCAUAUCGACGGCGGUGUUUGGCACCUCGAUGUCGGCUCAUCACAUCCUGGGGCUGAAGCCGGUCCCAAGGGUAUGGCUGUUCGCCAUUUAAAGUGGUACGCGAGCUGGGUUUAGAACGUCGUGAGACAGUUCGGUCCCUAUCUGCCGUGGACGUUUGAGAUUUGAGAGGGGCUGCUCCUAGUACGAGAGGACCGGAGUGGACGAACCUCUGGUGUUCCGGUUGUCACGCCAGUGGCAUUGCCGGGUAGCUAUGUUCGGAAAAGAUAACCGCUGAAAGCAUCUAAGCGGGAAACUUGCCUCAAGAUGAGAUCUCACUGGGAACUUGAUUCCCCUGAAGGGCCGUCGAAGACUACGACGUUGAUAGGCUGGGUGUGUAAGCGUUGUGAGGCGUUGAGCUAACCAGUACUAAUUGCCCGUGAGGCUUGACCAU